UACGUAGGGUGCAAGCGUUAAUCGGAAUUACUGGGCGUAAAGCGUGCGCAGGCGGUUUUGUAAGUCAGAUGUGAAAUCCCCGGGCUUAACCUGGGAACUGCGUUUGAAACUACAAGGCUAGAGUGUGGCAGAGGGGGGUGGAAUUCCACGUGUAGCAGUGAAAUGCGUAGAGAUGUGGAGGAACACCGAUGGCGAAGGCAGCCCCCUGGGUUAACACUGACGCUCGAGGCGACGAAAGCGUGGGGAGCAAACAGG
rnacentral:rRNA from 1 species